UCUGUGGUUUGCUAGCAUUUUUUGCCUGACGUUGCCUUUUGAAAACUACUUAUGAAAGAGAAAGAGUAAGUGGCACGGCAUCACAAUUUUCUCGUGCACAACACAGCUCAGGAGCUUACCAGAAAGGAGGCAGAAUCUUCCCAGAUAUUUUCUUGGUCAUCUCCUCUUUGAUUCGGGAAAAUGUCUCCUGUCGGGACCUUGGUUGUGUUCCUCACAGCUGUCUUAAAAAGCACUACUGGCCAGUCGGUUAACCAGAUAGAAGGAACCGUGGUGGUGACUCAAGGAAAAAAUAUCUUUCUCCAUUGUUCCUACGAAUCUUCGUUUACCACAAACGAUCCUUUCUGGUAUGUCCAGUAUCCCGGCCAGCGUCCCAGGCUCUUUCUGAAAGAAUACACCAAAGAGGAGGGCAAUCGUCAUGGUUUCCAGGCUGAGCACCGUAAAGGAGAAAAAACUUUCCAUAUGAAGAAAUCGGCCAGCCAGUUGAAGGACUCCGCUGUCUAUUUCUGUGCUGUUCCUUGGGAAGAGCACAGAAGAUUGUCCAGCCAGAAUCAGCCAUACCAGUUGCAGGAGGAUCAUACGACCUUCCUUGCAAUCUCUCUUCGGUUUCAUCAGAAAAGAUCCUGUGGUAUCGCCAAUUCCCCGGCCAAGGACCUCAGUAUAUUGCUGGUGCAUAUCCAGGAAGAACUGACGAAGGCACCGAUCCGAAAAGCACAUUGCGCGUUGCGAAAGAGAAGACCUCCAGCGUCCUUUUUCUCCAUCACGUCACGCUGGCAGAUGCUGCCGUGUACUUCUGUGCUCUCGUCCUCGCACAGUGUGUGAGGAAAGGACUGUCGCCCUGCAAGAACCCCUCACA